CGCUGGCGGCAUGCCUUACACAUGCAAGUCGAACGGCAGCACGGGGGCAACCCUGGUGGCGAGUGGCGAACGGGUGAGUAAUAUAUCGGAACGUGCCAAGUAGUGGGGGAUAACUAGUCGAAAGAUUAGCUAAUACCGCAUACGCUCUACGGAGGAAAGUGGGGGAUCGCAAGACCUCAUGCUAUUUGAGCGGCCGAUAUCUGAUUAGCUAGUUGGUAGGGUAAAAGCCUACCAAGGCGACGAUCAGUAGCUGGUCUGAGAGGACGACCAGCCACACUGGGACUGAGACACGGCCCAGACUCCUACGGGAGGCAGCAGUGGGGAAUUUUGGACAAUGGGGGCAACCCUGAUCCAGCAAUGCCGCGUGAGUGAAGAAGGCCUUCGGGUUGUAAAGCUCUUUUGUCAGGGAAGAAACGCGCUGAGC
rnacentral:rRNA from 1 species